rfam:Caprimulgus carolinensis contig45836, whole genome shotgun sequence.
GGUCCCAUGGUGUAAUGGUGAGCACUCUGGACUCUGAAUCCAGUCAUCUGAGUUCAAAUCUCAGUGGGAUUU